UCAACAACACCUGGGUGGCUGGGAACAAUGGCUCAUGCCUGUAAUCCCUGCCCUUUGGGAGGCUGAGGCCAGAGGAUUGCUUGAGGCCAGGAGUUCAAGACCAGCCUGGACAACACAGAGGAAGCAUGCAAGCAAACAAGGUGGGAACUGGAGUGCACGAGUGCUGGAACCAGCUGACCAAUUCAGUGCCAGCAGGAUCAAACUUCACUCACUCUGACCUGCCUCAUUGUACCCCUUGCGGAAGGGAGCACACAGAAUGUUCCUUGAUUAACUGCUGGUCCAAGGAAGAUGAGUGACUCAUGUAGCAGACCUGGUCCCAACCUGCAGCCUGAGGCAAGUCUAACCAAUCCACAGGUGCAGAGUGGGAAAUAAAUGCUUAUUGUUGUAUAAC